CAGCAAGCCCCGGGCGCGCUGCGGCCCGGAAGCGGAAGUGUGCCUCCCAGUCUGAGGAAUCGGUGUGUACUCGGUGGUCCUGAAAUCCACGGGAGGCGCUUUGCUUCGCGUCUGCGGACACUCGAGCGCUUCGCCCCUGGCGGGUGGGAGUGCAGAGACGGCAGUGCGAGAUGAGCACCAUGUUCGCUGACACGCUGCUCAUCGUCUUCAUCUCCGUGUGCACGGCCCUGCUCGCCGAGGGUAUAACCUGGGUCCUGGUUUACAGGACAGACAAGUACAAGAGACUGAAGGCCGAAGUAGAAAAACAGAGUAAAAAAUUGGAAAAGAAGAAGGAAACAAUAACGGAGUCAGCUGGUCGACAACAAAAAAAGAAAA